rnacentral:rRNA from 1 species
UACGUAGGGGGCGAGCGUUGUCCGGAUUUAUUGGGCGUAAAGGGCUCGUAGGCGGCCAACUAUGUCAGACGUGAAAUCCCUCGGCUUAACCGGGGAACUGCGUCUGAUACUGGAUGGCUUGAGUUCGGGAGAGGGAUGCGGAAUUCCAGGUGUAGCGGUGAAAUGCGUAGAUAUCUGGAGGAACACCGGGUGGCGAAGGCGGCAUCCUGGACCGACACUGACGCUGAGGAGC